GUGGCAAAGGGGUGCUAUACUGCAGUCGAGCGAUCGAUCGGGAGCUUGCUCCCUGAGAUUAGCGGCGGACGGGUGAGUAACACGUGGGCAACCUGCCUAUAAGACUGGGAUAACUUCGGGAAACCGGAGCUAAUACCGGAUACGUUCUUUUCUCGCAUGAGAGAAGAUGGAAAGACGGUUUACGCUGUCACUUAUAGAUGGGCCCGCGGCGCAUUAGCUAGUUGGUGAGGUAAUGGCUCACCAAGGCGACGAUGCGUAGCCGACCUGAGAGGGUGAUCGGCCACACUGGGACUGAGACACGGCCCAAACUCCUACGGGAGGCAGCAGUAGGGAAUCUUCCGCAAUGGACGAAAGUCUGACGGAGCAACGCCGCGUGAACGAAAAAGGCCUUCGGGUCGUAAAGUUCUGUUGUUAGGGAAGAACAAGUACCAGAGUAACUGCUGGUACCUUGACGGUACCUAACCAGAAAGCCGCGGCUAACUACGUGCCAGCAGCCGCGGUAAUACGUAGGUGGCAAGCGUUGUCCGGAAUUAUUGGGCGUAAAGCGCGCGCAGGUGGUUCCUUAAGUCUGAUGUGAAAGCCCACGGCUCACCCGUGGAGGGUCAUUGGAAACUGGGGAACUUGAGUGCAGAAGAGGAAGUGGAAUUCCAAGUGUAGCGGUGAAAUGCGUAGAGAUUUGGAGGAACACCAGUGGCGAAGGCGACUUUCUGGUCUGUAACUGACACUGAGGCGCGAAAGCGUGGGGAGCAACAGGAUUAGAUACCCUGGUAGUCCACGCCGUACACGAUGAGUGCUAAGUGUUAGAGGGUUUCCGCCCUUUAGUGCUGCAGCUAACGCAUUAAGCACUCCGCCUGGGGAGUACGGCCGCAAGGCUGAAACUCAAAGGAAUUGACGGGGGCCCGCACAAGCGGUGGAGCAUGUGGUUUAAUUCGAAGCAACGCGAAGAACCUUACCAGGUCUUGACAUCCUCUGACAACCCCAGAGAUAGGGCUUUCCCCUUCGGGGGACAGAGUGACAGGUGGUGCAUGGUUGUCGUCAGCUCGUGUCGUGAGAUGUUGGGUUAAGUCCCGCAACGAGCGCAACCCUUGAUUUUAGUUGCCAGCAUUCAGUUGGGCACUUUAAGGUGACUGCCGGUGACAAACCGGAGGAAGGUGGGGAUGACGUCAAAUCAUCAUGCCCCUUAUGACCUGGGCUACACACGUGCUACAAUGGAUGGUACAAAGGGCUGCAAACCUGCGAAGGUAAGCGAAUCCCAUAAAGCCAUUCUCAGUUCGGAUUGCAGGCUGCAACUCGCCUGCAUGAAGCCGGAAUCGCUAGUAAUCGCGGAUCAGCAUGCCGCGGUGAAUACGUUCCCGGGCCUUGUACACACCGCCCGUCACACCACGAGAGUUUGUAACACCCGAAGUCGGUGAGGUAACCUUCAUGGAGCCAGCCGCCUAAGUGCACAGAUUUGU
rnacentral:rRNA from 1 species